GCCUUCGUGGUGUAGUGGUCAGUACGCUCGACGCGUAACCGAGAGGUAUGUGGUUCGAUUCCUGGCGAAGGCG
rfam:Stegodyphus mimosarum contig65558, whole genome shotgun sequence.